GCGGCCGUGGCUCAAUUGGAUAGAGCAUCAGUCUACGGAACUGAGGGUUGGAGGUUCGAGUCCUCUCGGCCGCG
rnacentral:tRNA from 1 species